rnacentral:piRNA from 1 species
UGCUCAGAUAUGGUAGGACACCCUACAGG